CAGUAGCCGCGGUAACACAGAGGGUGCGAGCGUUAAUUGGAUUUACUGGGCGUAAAGCGUGCGUAGGCGGCUUCUUAAGUCGGAUGUGAAAUCCCUGAGCUUAACUUAGGAAUUGCAUUCGAUACUGGGAAGCUAGAGUAUGGGAGAGGAUGGUAGAAUUCCAGGUGUAGCGGUGAAAUGCGUAGAGAUCUGGAGGAAUACCGAUGGCGAAGGCAGCCAUCUGGCCUAAUACUGACGCUGAGGUACGAAAGCAUGGGGAGCAAACAGGAUUAGAUACCCCAGUAGUCCCUGUCUCUUAUAC
rnacentral:rRNA from 1 species